rnacentral:rRNA from 1 species
UACGGAGGAUGCGAGCGUUAUCCGGAUUUAUUGGGUUUAAAGGGUGCGUAGGCGGACUGUCAAGUCAGCGGUAAAAUUGAGAGGCUCAACCUCUUCCCGCCGUUGAAACUGGUGGUCUUGAGUGGGCGAGAAGUAUGCGGAAUGCGUGGUGUAGCGGUGAAAUGCAUAGAUAUCACGCAGAACUCCGAUUGCGAAGGCAGCAUACCGGCGCCCAACUGACGCUGAGGCUCGAAAGCGUGGGGAGCAAACAGG